GACGAACGCUGGCGGCGUGCUUAACACAUGCAAGUCGAACGGUAAGGCCCUUCGGGUACGACGAGUGGCGAACGGGUGAGUAACACGUGGGUGAUCUGCCCUGCACUUCGGGAUAAGCCUGGGAAACUGGGUCUAAUACCGGAUAGGACCAUGGACUUCACGGUUUGUGGUGGAAAGCUUUUGCGGUGUGGGAUGGGCCCGCGGCCUAUCAGCUUGUUGGUGGGGUAAUGGCCUACCAAGGCGACGACGGGUAGCCGGCCUGAGAGGGUGUCCGGCCACACUGGGACUGAGAUACGGCCCAGACUCCUACGGGAGGCAGCAGUGGGGAAUAUUGCACAAUGGGCGCAAGCCUGAUGCAGCGACGCCGCGUGAGGGAUGACGGCCUCGGUUGUAACCACUUCAAUAGGACGAAGCGCAAGUGACGGUACCUAUAGAAGAAGCACCGGCCAACUAACGUGCCAGCAGCCGCGGUAA
rnacentral:rRNA from 1 species